rnacentral:rRNA from 1 species
GAUGAACGCUGGCGGCGUGCUUAACACAUGCAAGUCGAACGGAAAGGCCCAAGCUUGCUUGGGUACUCGAGUGGCGAACGGGUGAGUAACACGUGGGUGAUCUGCCCUGCACUUCGGGAUAAGCCUGGGAAACUGGGUCUAAUACCGGAUAGGACCACAUUUUGGAUGGUGUGGUGGAAAGUUUUUCGGUGUGGGAUGAGCUCGCGGCCUAUCAGCUUGUUGGUGGGGUAAUGGCCUACCAAGGCGUAGACGGGUAGCCGGCCUGAGAGGGUGGACGGCCACAUUGGGACUGAGAUACGGCCCAGACUCCUACGGGAGGCAGCGGUGGGGAAUAUUGCACAAUGGGCGCAAGCCUGAUGCAGCGACGCCGCGUGGGGGAUGACGGCCUUCGGGUUGUAAACUCCUUUCGCUAGGGACGAAGCGCAAGUGACGGUACCUGGAGAAGAAGCACCGGCUAACUACGUG